AUUGAACGCUGGCGGCAUGCUUUACACAUGCAAGUCGAACGGCAGCGCGGGCUUCGGCCUGGCGGCGAGUGGCGAACGGGUGAGUAAUACAUCGGAACGUGCCCAGUAGUGGGGGAUAGCUCGGCGAAAGCCGGAUUAAUACCGCAUACGACCUGAGGGUGAAAGCGGGGGAUCUUCGGACCUCGCGCUAUUUGAGCGGCCGAUGGCAGAUUAGCUAGUUGGUGGGGUAAAGGCCUACCAAGGCGACGAUCUGUAGCUGAUCUGAGAGGACGACCCGCCACACUGGAACUGAGACACGGCCCAGACUCCUACGGGAGGCAGCAGUGGGGAAUUUUGGACAAUGGGCGAAAGCCUGAUCCAGCAAUGCCGCGUGUGUGAUGAAGGCCUUCGGGUUGUAAAGCACUUUUGGCGGGAACGAAAAGGACUGCGCCAAUCCCACGGUUCGAUGACGGUACCCGCAGAAUAAGCACCGGCUAACUACGUG
rnacentral:rRNA from 1 species